rnacentral:lncRNA from 1 species
UUUUUUUUUUUUUUUUUUCUAGGUGAAGACAUUGUCUCUAAGAGUUCCCAUUAAAAAGCAAAUGAUACCUGUUAGUUUCCAUUAUGACAUUAGCAUGAAUUAAACUAAAGGGUUGUAAGAAACUGACAAACGGUAUCAUACCAGUGAAAUGUCUUAGUGAAAGGCCACCUCUCAGCUGCGGGGCCUCAGAGAGGCAAGUUACCAUCUUGAGAGAAUGCAAUUUGUUAGGCUAUUUCAACCUGGGGAGUUGCAAAGAGAAAGUGGUUCUAAGUAACUUCCGGUUAUACCCUCAGCACAGAGUUGGGAACUAAGAUUUGGUCGCUCUUCUUCAUAAAACCCUUCCCAGGCUCCCUUUGUUUUCAGAUUGAGUCAUUCUCUUGCACUUUCCACAAGAAAUUCUUCAUGGCCUGUUCUCCAGCCUUGUUUCAUAUUUUGCUAACACACGUGGUCUUUCUAACCUACUUGAGCUUUUCUCAAUAUACCUUGGGCAUUGUCUUUAAACUGCUUGAGAAGUAUUCUGAGAAUAGUAAACAGAUGCAUAUGCAUGUGUACUUGCUACAUUUCCUAAACUACUAAAAAUCCAUGCAACAGAAUUUGAAUGCUGUAAGAUACAACUCUUUCACAUGUCAUUUGAAAUACAGCAAGACACCAAAUAGGCGACAAAGAGGCAGGUAGUAAUAAAAAUAACAUACUAUUAUUUUGUCUUUUAAAAAUAAAUCACAUAUGAAGAAAUAAAUGUAUUCCUAUAAAAUCUGGUAGAUUAUUUUAGGCCAUAUCCAGAGAGAAAUGGAAUGUGUUCAAUUAAAAAUGAUUGAGAAAUGUUGUUCUUUACUUUAAAAUAGCUGUCAAUUUAAUUAUUUAUAACUUUUAUUCUCCACUCAAGAUAAAAAGAUAAUUUUUAUGUAACUGGAUAGCUAUUAUAAAGCUAACGAGAUACCUUUGUCUUUCUUCUUGCUUUCAUAUUAAGCUCUAUAGACUAAGCGUCUGGCUAUAAAUAAAACUAUUGAUGUUAAAAGGUCAUGGCUAUGACCUUUCACAUGUUUCUUCUCCACUAUAUCUAUAUACACUGGAUACUUUACCCAGAGAAGAGAUUCUUUAUUUAAGAGAGCUUAAACUGUUCAAAUUUGUAAUGUACUAAGGAUUUUGGAAUGUCUAGGGGACUUAGUGGAUAAAAAACUGACCUUUCAUCUCUGAACCCAGACACAGUCCAACCUCAGAUAAAUGAAAAAGUUUUGUGUCAGUUGCUUCCAUGAUAAACUGGUACUCUCCAAUAUCUUCCACCCCAAUUAAGCAUUGCUGGCAGGUCUGGCCUCAAGAGGCACAUGGAGUAUAGAAAUGGAAUAACUUCUGCUCCGGGAGAGGGUGUCUGAACCUUCGAGACAGGAUUUUAAGGUUAUAAAUGGGCAGUGUUGGCCAA